rnacentral:rRNA from 1 species
UACAGAGGUCUCAAGCGUUGUUCGGAUUCAUUGGGCGUAAAGGGUGCGUAGGUGGCGCCGUAAGUCAGGUGUGAAAUUUCGGAGCUUAACUCCGAAACUGCAUUUGAUACUGCGGUGCUUGAGGACUGGAGAGGAGACUGGAAUUCACGGUGUAGCAGUGAAAUGCGUAGAUAUCGUGAGGAACACCAGUGGCGAAGGCGAGUCUCUGGACGACUCCUGA